CAGCAGGUCUUUACUUCUACUAAUCUAAAGAUUUCCCUGCUUUCCUUACCUGCUGUUGCUGUCAGCUUUGAGUGAUCAUUUCUCCUGAACGUGGUGGGACAUGCUAAGAGCUUUGUGCUGAAGCAAAAUGUGCGAUACGAGGACAAGCACAUGUGCACCCCUUGAACCUGCUCAGUGAGACGCUCACAGUCCCUGCAUUAUGUGGCGGCCUUCUAAAUGGAGACUAGAGUAGGACUGUGAUGUUUGGCAUCUCCAGAGCACGCGGUCUUUUUCAGUGGAGUCUGCAUGAAUCUGGGAUGUAAUUGGAAAAGCACUGCAGUAUAUUGGAACAUAUGGUGAGCUCUGCAACACAGAGCAAGUUGUGGCUCUGAUUGACGAGGAAAUGUGUAUCAACUGUGGCAAAUGUUACAUGACCUGUAAUGAUUCCGGCUACCAGGCUAUCCAGUUCGAUGCCGAAACCCACCUGCCCACGGUCACAGACAGCUGCACGGGCUGCACCCUGUGCCUCAGCGUCUGCCCCAUCAUCGACUGCAUCCGCAUGGUUCCCAGGACCACCCCGUACGAGCCCCGGCGAGGGCUGCCCCUGGCCCUGAGCCCCCCGUGCUGAGCCAUGCCGGUCCUGCGCUGCCUCACCGCCACUGAUCUGCCUUCUAAUUAAACCUCAAAAUCAACCUUUAUGGAAAAAAAAAGUGAUAUUGGGAGUCAUUACAGUAAACUCUCUUUUUUUUUGCAUUUAUUAUUUUUAUGACAAUUAGGUUCUGAAAUUACAGAAAGGCAGCAAUUAGGUGGUUGUAGCUGUCAGUUGUCCACUGCCUGAAAUGUAACUUUUUCCUUGUGAUUCGUGCCAUAAUUUCAAAAGUCCUCUGUAGACUGUUUAAUCUCUAUGUAAUUUCUGGCUGCAAAUAUAAUUAAGAAACCAUUUUUAAUGAACUACAAAUCAAUGUACAAGCUAACUGUUUUCAAGGAGGCAUUUUGUAAUUAAACAUUACAUUUCGUUUUAAAAGAGUUUCUUAGAAGAUGUAAUUAACUACACAGCAUUCAAACAAAGCGAUGUUGCUUCUAUUUUUCUAUGGGAAGAAAUGAAAGGGAAUUUAAAAUAGGAUUUAAGAACUGGAUUAAUCACUUUCAACUACUACAGCAUAUGGUAGUGUAUUUUUAUAAUCCUUUCUAAUUCUUUCUCACACCAGUCACUUAAUAAGAAUAAAUUUGCUGUGCACUGACACAUGCUGAACUCUUCAGAUUCGGUGUUGCCUGGGUAGCAUCAUCCUUACUUUUCUCCCCCAGUGAACACUUGUGACAUCUAUCUACAAACAGUUAAACCAGCUUAUUGCAAAGUCCGGGUUUCAUUUUAGGAUUUGGAGAAGGGACAAGAAGGGACAACGUGUUUUUUCCAAGCUCAUCCUCUAAAUAACUUUUUAAUUGUGCCAAUUAAUGUUCCGGAAUGUACAUGAUACAGGUCAGAGAUCUGAUUAGGUGCAAUUGGAAUACACACCCUGCAAACCACGUUUGCCAAAUGUACGUGUAUAGGGCAAACUGGCAAGAUGAUUUCCCCCAUUGCCAAUUCUUCAUACUUAGUGCUUAUGUAUGGUUACUGUGAUUUCACAACCAAAAAGAAGUACGGAUUUGUCUGUCUUACUGAACAACAUCUCAGUAUUAAUCCAUUUUUCAUUCACAGUAGGAACUUUCUAAUAUGAAUGUAUUGCUGUCAGCUUUACUCCACUUAAGAAUAUAAAGCCUUUAGUUUCAUAAUAAUAAUAAAUGAUCUAUUCAUUCAAUUUCUUAUAUCCUAUAUUGCAAUCGGUAAAAGCUUUGAUUAAAAAUAUUCCCUAAUUUUCCUGGUUUACAAUUUGUGCACCAAAUUACAAAUAAAUGUUGAAACCAA